rnacentral:rRNA from 1 species
AGCGAACGUUAGCGGCGGGCCUAACACAUGCAAGUCGAACGCGAAAGGUCUUCGGACUGAGUAGAGUGGCGCACGGGUGAGUAACACGUAGGUAAUCUACCCUUUGGCGGGGGAUAACGUUCCGAAAGGAGCGCUAAUACCGCAUAAGACCACGGAGUCUCCGGACGCUGUGGGGAAAAGGUGGCCUCUUCUUGAAAGCUAUCACCGAAGGAUGAGCCUGCGUCCCAUCAGCUAGUUGGUAAGGUAAUGGCUUACCAAGGCGAAGACGGGUAGCUGGUUUGAGAGAAUGAUCAGCCACACUGGCACUGGAACACGGGCCAGACUCCUACGGGAGGCAGCAGUGAGGAAUAUUGGGCAAUGGGCGAAAGCCUGACCCAGCCACGCCGCGUGCGGGACGAAGGCCU